rnacentral:rRNA from 1 species
GAUGAACGCUGGCGGCGUGCCUAAUACAUGCAAGUCGAGCGAACGGACGAGAAGCUUGCUUUUCUGAUGUUAGCGGCGGACGGGUGAGUAACACGUGGAUAACCUACCUAUAAGACUGGGAUAACUUCGGGAAACCGGAGCUAAUACCGGAUAAUCUUUUGCACCGCAUGGUUCAAAAGUGAAAGACGGUCUUGCUGUCACUUCUCGCUGGAUCCGCGCUGCAUUAGCUAGUUGGUAAGGUAACGGCUUACCAAGGCAACGAUGCCUAGCCGACCUGAGAGAGUGAUCGGCCACACUGGAACUGAGACACGGUCCAGACGCCUACGGGAGGCAGCAGUAGGGAAUCUGCCGCAAUGGGCGAAAGCCUGACGGAGCAACGCCGCGUGAGUGAUGAAGGUCUUCGGAUCGGAAAACUCUGUUAUUAGGGAAGAACAUAUGUGUAAGUAACUGUGCACAGCUUGACGGUACCUAAUCAGAAAGCCACGGCUAACUACGUG